rfam:Serendipita vermifera MAFF 305830 unplaced genomic scaffold scaffold_114, whole genome shotgun sequence.
GGGUGUUUGGUCUAGUGGUAUGAUUCCCGCUUCGGGUUUUUCCGGCCGAAACUCAUUGGCCAUGAUUGCGGGAGGCCCUGGGUUCGAAUCCCAGAUCACCCC